GAGUUUGAUCUUGGCUCAGGAUGAACGCUGGCGGCGUGCCUAAUACAUGCAAGUCGAGCGAAUGGAUUAAGAGCUUGCUCUUAUGAAGUUAGCGGCGGACGGGUGAGUAACACGUGGGUAACCUGCCCAUAAGACUGGGAUAACUCCGGGAAACCGGGGCUAAUACCGGAUAACAUUUUGAACCGCAUGGUUCGAAAUUGAAAGGCGGCUUCGGCUGUCACUUAUGGAUGGACCCGCGUCGCAUUAGCUAGUUGGUGAGGUAACGGCUCACCAAGGCAACGAUGCGUAGCCGACCUGAGAGGGUGAUCGGCCACACUGGGACUGAGACACGGCCCAGACUCCUACGGGAGGCAGCAAGUAGGGAAUCUUCCGCAAAUGGACGAAAAGUCUGACGGAGCAAACGCCGCGUGAGUGAUG
rnacentral:rRNA from 1 species